rnacentral:rRNA from 1 species
UACGAAGGGUGCAAACGUUGCUCGGAAUUAUUGGGCGUAAAGCGCGCGCAGGCGGCCUUUUUAAGUCUGAUGUGAAAUCUUGCGGCUCAACCGCAAGCGGUCAUUGGAAACUGGGAGGCUUGAGUACAGAAGAGGAGAGUGGAAUUCCACGUGUAGCGGUGAAAUGCGUAGAUAUGUGGAGGAACACCAGUGGCGAAGGCGACUCUCUGGUCUGUAACUGACGCUGAGGCGCGAAAGCGUGGGGGAGCAAACAGG